rnacentral:lncRNA from 1 species
UUUUCCAUUUGCAUUUUUGUGUUAAAAGUUGUUUCUCUUGAGAGUUCUAAAUGCAUGUCUAUGUUUUGAAAUGGGGUUUACUUUUUGUCUUUUGUUCAUAAUGUAAAUUUAUUGGAUAUUUUGCUGUUUAUCUGCAAUGUAAUUGCCAAUGAUUUGAUUCUUGUAGGAGUUUGGAGAGUGGUCACCGCUGAAGCAAAACAAUUUUCUUGGGGGAAAAGAAAAUGGAGUUUUCCAUGAUUUUUAUGAUUAGCUUCUCUGUAUUGAUUUUGUGCUCCUCACUGGCAUAUGGUCAAGUUGCAAUGAGCACAAGCCCGACACCGUCACCCUCACCAGCACCGGCACCGACACCGGCAUACACAAAUAUCAAAGACUUACUCUCUGUGGCAGGUCCAUAUCACAAGUUCCUGGGCUACCUCGAGUCGACUAAAUUAAUCGACACGUUCCAAAUCCAAGCCAACAACACGGUUGAAGGCAUUACGAUUUUCGUACCGAAAGACAGCGCAUUCAAGGCUCUUAAGAAGCCUUCAUUGUCAAAUCUAACUGAUGAUCAGUUCAAAUCAGUGCUCCUUUACCAUGCCUUGCCACGAUACUAUGCCCUUGCGGACUUCAAUGACCUAAGUGAGAAAGGCCUUAUUAGUACACUUGCUGGUGGCCAAUACACUUUGCAAUUCAACGAUGAGUCUGGUACCGUCCGCCUCGAUUCCGGAUGGAGCAAAACAAAAGUCACUAGCGCAGUACAUACGUCCAAGCCAGUCGCAGUCUAUCAAAUCGAUAAGGUCCUUCUUCCGGAGGCCAUUUUCGGGACCGACAUACCUCCGACACCUGCACCUGCCCCGGCUCUUGGUAUUGGCCCAUCAGCUGACACUCCAUCAGCAGCAAAAUCCGAAGAAACUGGUUCCUCAUCAAAGCCUUCGUUUUCGGGUUCAUCAUCUCCUAGGAUCAUGAUGAACUCGGGCAUUUGGACUCAG